UGGACCUAUGGUGACCACUGGUGGCAUUUGAGGCGUGUACGAUGAAUAAUAUGUGUCUGAAACUCUGAGGUCCAA
ensembl:snoRNA SNORD114-3 small nucleolar RNA, C/D box 114-3